rnacentral:rRNA from 1 species
GAGUUUGAUCCUGGCUCAGGAUGAACGCUAGCUACAGGCUUAACACAUGCAAGUCGAGGGGCAGCAUGAUCAAAGCUUGCUUUGAUUGAUGGCGACCGGCGCACGGGUGAGUAACGCGUAUCCAACCUUCCCCUUAGUAGGGCAUAGCCCGUAGAAAUGCGGAUUAAUACCCUAUGUUUUCCAAUGAGGACAUCUGAGCUGGAACAAAGAUUUAUCGCUAAGGGAUGGGGAUGCGUCUGAUUAGAUAGUAGGCGGGGUAACGGCCCACCUAGUCGACGAUCAGUAGGGGUUCUGAGAGGAAGGUCCCCCACAUUGGAACUGAGCCAUGAUCAAACUC